UUUCUCCUCUAGUGGACAACUCUUCACAGCGGGAGAUCGAGGAGUUUCUCAGUGAGGCAGCGUGCAUGAAAGACUUCAGCCACCCAAAUGUCAUUCGACUUCUAGUGUGUGUAUAGAAAUGAGCUCUCAAGGCAUCCCAAAGCCCAUGGUAAUUUUACCCUUCAUGAAAUACGGGGACCUGCAUACUUACUUACUUUAUUCCCGAUUGGAGACAGGACCAAAGAUAUUCCUCUGCAGACACUAUUGAAGUUCAUGGUGGAUAUUGCCCUGGGAAUGGAGUAUCUGAGCAACAGGAAUUUUCUUCAUCGAGAUUUAGCUGCUCGA
rnacentral:lncRNA from 1 species